rnacentral:rRNA from 1 species
UGAUGCGCUGGGCGAAGCCUGACCGCCUGCCGCGUGAGUGAUGAAGGCCCUAGGGUUGUAAAGCUCUUUUGUGCGGGAAGAUAAUGACGGUACCGCAAGAAUAAGCCCCGGCUAACUUCGUGCCAGCAGCCGCGGUAAUACCAAGGGGGCUGGCGUUGCUCGGAAUCACUGGGCGUAAAGGGUGCGUAGGCGGGUCUUUAAGUCAGAGGUGAAAUCCUGGAGCUCAACUCCAGAACUGCCUUUGAUACUGAGGAUCUUGAGUUCGGGAGAGGUGAGUGGAACUGCGAGUGUAGAGGUGAAAUUCGUAGAUAUUCGCAAGAACACCAGUGGGGAAGGCGGCUCACUGGCCCGAUACUGACGCUGAGGCACGAAAG